GCUCUCUAAUUUGUUUUCAUCGAGUUGUUAGGUUAGGUUUUUAAAACUAGAAUCUAUCGCUCUAUUUUGUGUUGUAAGUUUAUUUUUAGGUUUUUUUAACUCAAAUCUCAUAUACUCUAUUCAUGGAAAUGUAUCAGUGGUGAUCGAAGUGCUUGGGUUUGUUCUCUAGUUCGCCUGCCCUUCCACCGACUCUGCAAAAUUGGAUUUGGUAUUCGGAGUUGUAAGAGAAUUUGAGCAGCAGAGGGAGCAUAGGGAGAAGGGGUUUUGGAUGUUGACCAAGCAGAAUAUUCAUGAUCCAGUUCAAAAGUUAGCAGCUUCCACAGAGAUGACCAAUGAUCAGCUGGAAAAUACUGUAGAAAAUGAAGCCUGAAGAUAUGAAAAAAGGUGGAAGGAGAGUUAAUCCUCAAAAAGAUGUUCACAGUUUGAAACAGAAUCCUUCAUGUAGUUUAUAUCUUGUAACAAGCUUCAUGAGAGUUCAUCAUAAUUAAAUGUGGUACAUAAUAACUCUUCUGGUGUAACAGAUCAUAUGCUGGAACUCCUUUGUAGAUCUUAAUAUUUUUUUAC